AAAUAAAAAAUAAGUUGUCUAGCCAACCCUUAUUCUACAUUACUUCGUUAUUUUGAGCUAGGGUUUUGUUAUCACUUCAUUCUUUCAAUGCUUUCAAUAAAAAAAUCAGAAACACGGACACAACCGCCGCUCAUUCUCUUCAUCAACCCUAAACCCUCGAGCACACACCACCACGCCACUACCUCUCAGUGCUCUCGAUCUUAAUAGAAACACGCAGUCGUUCUCUUCAUCAACACUAAUCCAUCAAACUCGAGUUGUAGUCUCCAUCACGCACCACCACGCCACAAACGAUCAUAUGGAACAUGGAGAAGGUAGUUUGUAGGGAGAUGGUAGCUUGCAUGGAGUUGGAGAUGGGAGCUUCCAUGAAAUGGAGUGGAGGCCAAUACCAUGCUUUGGUGAUAAGGUUAUCUUUGAACUACAAAUAUUGAACAAAAAUCAAACAAGGGGUUCAUUGUAAAAUAUUUGAAACUUUAAAUUUGGAUAAUUGUAAAUAACUUACCAUGAAUACUUGAAUGCUUUAUUUACAAUUUGGCAAAAGUUGAUUUGGAUGAUUGUGAGAUAUACUAUUAGGCUGUGUGUAUGAAAUUUAUAGGCCAUUUGUAUUAUUUGAAGGCCAAAUUUAUUUA